GCUCCGUAGUGAAGUUCAUGUUGAGUUGCAAGCUCAUUGAUGCACACAAGAGUGUGCCGGGGCCU
rnacentral:tRNA from 1 species